rnacentral:rRNA from 1 species
UAGUCCACGCCGUAAACGAUGGUUACUAGCUGUCCGUCCCACAUUGGUGGGAUGGGUGGCCAAGCGAAAGUGAUAAGUAACCCACCUGGGGAGUACGUUCGCAAGAAUGAAACUCAAAGGAAUUGACGGGGGCCCGCACAAGCGGUGGAGCAUGUGGUUUAAUUCGAUGAUACGCGAGGAACCUUACCAGGGCUUAAAUGUAGUCUGACAGCUUUAGAGAUAGAGUUUUCUUCGGACAGAUUACAAGGUGCUACAUGGUUGUCGUCAGCUCGUGCCGUGAGGUGUCAGGUUAAGUCCUAUAACGAGCGCAACCCUUGUCGUUAGUUGCCAGCAAGUAAAGUUGGGGACUCUAGCGAGACUGCCCGUGUAAGCGGAGAGGAAGGUGGGGACGACGUCAAGUCAUCAUGGGCCUUUAUGCCCAGGGGCUACACACGUGCUACAAUGGUGCAUACAGA